GGUAUUUUGACCGUGCUAAGGUAGCANAAUCAUUUGGUUUUNAAUUGAUAACUGGAAUGAAAGGUUGCUCUUAUUUUAAUUUUUGUAAAACUNAAAUAAUAAAUNAAAGUNAGGGUAAGAAUUCUUUAAUUUUCNAGGGGACGAUAAGACCCNAGAAGCUUAAUAUAGAGUUGUACUUANAGAAAAAGUUGAUUAUUUAUUUUACUGGGGCGGUAGGAGUAAACUUACUAUUUGCUNAAAAAAGAUCUUUAAAAUUAAGANAAUUGGGAUUAGUUACUCUAGGGAUAACAGUGCAAUUUUUUNAGAAAGACCUUAUUGAUGAANAAGUUUGCAACCUCGAUGUUGAAUUAAGAUGUCUAAGUGAGGUAAAAGGUACUAAAGAAAGGUUUGUUCAACCUUUAAAGUCUUACAUGAUCNGAGUUCAAACCGGA
rnacentral:rRNA from 1 species